AGAGUUUGAUCAUGGCUCAGGAUGAACGCUAGCUACAGGCUUAACACAUGCAAGUCGAGGGGAAACGACAUCGAAAGCUUGCUUUUGAUGGGCGUCGACCGGCGCACGGGUGAGUAACGCGUAUCCAACCUGCCCACCACUUGGGGAUAACCUUGCGAAAGUAAGACUAAUACCCAAUGACGUCUCUAGAAGACAUCUGAAAGGGAUUAAAGAUUUAAUCGGUGAUGGAUGGGGAUGCGUCUGAUUAGCUUGUUGGCGGGGUAACGGCCACCAAGGCUACGAUCAGUAGGGGUUCUGAGAGGAAGGUCCCCACAUUGGAACUGAGACACGGUCCAAACGUCCUACGGGAGCA
rnacentral:rRNA from 1 species